CUCAUUCACGCACGGAUGCAUAAACAAAAUGGGAACCUCAGAACAGCCUGUGGACUGGAUUUCUGCCCCUGCCAUGCACGGAUGCUCAGCCUGUCAACUGGAUUUCUACCCCUGCACGUCGCUUUCUUCUCAACCGACAUCUGGAAGCCAUUCAGUGCUGCAUACACUUCCUGCAGGCUGCCCCUCUGUUCUCUCGCCCUUCUCAUCUCACGUGAUUGAUCACCUGACAAGCUACCUGGAUUUCCUAGUGCCCCAGAGUUGCCCUCAAUCAACACACAACACGUUCCCAUGUGGAAUCUUCACCAAGUGUUCAUUUCUUCCAUUACAGGAAAUAGUAUUCUCUCCCUGUCCCCAAAACUUUGCAGUAAAGACCCCUGACAAUCUAGUUCAAAUGUCAGUCAUGACACUGCUAGCUUUCUUUUUACAAGACUGUGUGAGUCCCCCUGCAAAAAAGUCAAACUGAAUUUUAUCACAUGAUAUCUACUAUAGUCCUUCAAGCAAUUGUCACUGCAUCUUUUCAGUUAUGGUUACCAAAGGUUGUGUUUAAAAUUAGCUCGCAGAAUUUACUGCUGGGUGUGGGGAUGGCCUACAAAUGACCCAAAUGACCAAGAUUCAGUGUUGUUCAAAUUGUGUAUGUUCUGGAAAGGAGUCACUUUGUCUACUUGAACUUUAGAAGUUAUUUACUAAUGUUGCAGUGUGAUACAAUUGAUCGUAAUCUAGGCUGGGCACCGUGGCUCACGCCUGUAAUCCCAGCACUUUGCGAGGCCGACAUGGGAGGAUUGCCUGAGCUCAAGAGUUUGAGAUCACCCUGGGAAACGUGGGGAAACACCGUCUCUACUAAAAUACAAGAAAAAAAAAAAUAGCUGGGUGUGGUGGUGCUUGCCUGUAGACCCGGCUCCUCUGGAGGCUGAGGCAUGAGAAUCACUUGAGCCCGGGAGCCGAGAUCGUGCCACUGCACUUCAGCUUAGGCUACAGGGUCUCAGACUCCAACUCAAAAAACAAACAAACAAACAAAAAAAACAGCACUCUGGGAGGCUGAGAUGGGUGGAUCACCUGAGGUCAGGAGUUCGAGACCAGCCUGACCAAUAUGGAGAAACCCGGCUCUAUCAAAA
rnacentral:lncRNA from 10 species